rnacentral:lncRNA from 1 species
GGGGUGACAGCCAGGCCCAGGUGCUGGGCAGGUACAGAGGGCAGGGCUGUUGCUGAACUCGAGCGAUCUGAAGUGCCAGACACAGGGCCAGGGGUCCAAAACACAAAACAAACGCAAAGGCACCCCCAGAGGAAAAGCCCAGAGUCUAAAUUUUAAACAGGAAGAAGCAGGCGCUGGCCCCGAGGAAGAUAACAGGCCCAGGAGGGAACACAGCAACAGCGGAGCAGCAGAGCAGGCCUGGGGAGGGCAGGGCGUCCAUGCUGAGCCGCCUGCCUGGCUCCAGGUGCCAGGCCUGGGCUCUGCCCACCACACAGAGGGCCCCAGCCGGCCAGUAUCAGGGGCACACAGGUCCUUCAACAGGCCACUGCAUCCAGUGAAUCAAAACAAAAAUAACUCCUUACGGAGCCAGCCGUGGUGGUGCGCACACUUGUGAUCCUGGCAUUCAGGAGGCUGAGGCAGGAGGGAAUGUUGUGAGUUCAAGGCCAGCCUGGACCACAUAGUGAGACCCUGUCUCCCCCACCCCCCAAGAAAAGAAAUUAAAAUUUAAAAAAGAAGCCUCUGGGUCAAGUCCCAGCCUGGCUAUGGGCCUCAGUUUCCCUCGCCAUGCUGCGCCACGUGUUGGUUGGUCGUAAUCGUGGGUUCCCUCAUCCCCGGAGGAGAGAGAACAUAAUGCCUUUCCCGUGAGGAUUGCAAGCUCGAGGGCUGUGUGAGGUCUCAGGAGGAGAGUUGGCAGUGACAGCAUGCGGGCUGCUCCAUGCGGCCCGGGCCUUAGUCUCAUCAGCUGCGCUUUUUACAGAAUCCGUGUGGCCCUUUUAGGUCCCCAAACAGACUGUGCUGCAGGGCUAAGGGAUGGGGAGGGCGCCCUUGUUCCUCCUCCCCAGGAGACCCCGUGGACAUCCGGGGUCCCCACCCAGGCCUCUUCUGGACCAUGCACCACAGCC